CGGACGGGUGAGUAAUGUCUGGGAAACUGCCUGAUGGAGGGGGAUAACUACCGGAAACGGUAGCUAAUACCGCAUAACGUCGCAAGACCAAAGAGGGGGACCUUCGGGCCUCUUGCCAUCGGAUGUGCCCAGAUGGGAUUAGCUAGUAGGUGGGGUAACGGCUCACCUAGGCGACGAUCCCUAGCUGGUCUGAGAGGAUGACCAGCCACACUGGAACUGAGACACGGUCCAG
rnacentral:rRNA from 1 species